GAUGAACGCUGGCGGCGUGCCUAAUACAUGCAAGUCGAGCGAACAGACGAGGAGCUUGCUCCUCUGACGUUAGCGGCGGACGGGUGAGUAACACGUGGAUAACCUACCUAUAAGACUGGGAUAACUUCGGGAAACCGGAGCUAAUACCGGAUAAUAUAUUGAACCGCAUGGUUCAAUAGUGAAAGACGGUUUUGCUGUCACUUAUAGAUGGAUCCGCGCCGCAUUAGCUAGUUGGUAAGGUAACGGCUUACCAAGGCAACGAUGCGUAUCCGACGUGAGAGGGUGAUCGGCCACACUGGAAGGGAGACACGGUCCAGACUCCUACGGGAGGCAGCAGUAGGGAAUCUGCCGCAAUGGGCGAAAGCCUGACGGAGCAACGCCGCGUGAGUGAUGAAGGUCUUCGGAUCGUAAAACUCUGUUAUUAGGGAAGAACAAAUGUGUAAGUAACUAUGCACGUCUUGACGGUACCUAAUCAGAAAGCCACGGCUAACUACGUG
rnacentral:rRNA from 1 species